rnacentral:lncRNA from 1 species
UGGAGGGGAGAUUCCCCCCCCCGAAAAAUAAUGGGGGGGUCUGGAUUGGGGGGGACCCGCCAAUGGGAGCCCAAAAUGGCGGAGCUCAAAAUGGCGGAGCACAAAAUGGCGGAGCUCAAAAUGGCGGAGAACAAAAUGGAACCCGAAAGGUCCUGAAAGGGGAGCGCAAAAUGGGACCCCAAAAUGGGAGCUGAAAUGGAGGGGUGGAGGGGGGAUCCCCCCCCUGAAAAAUAAUGGGGGGCUGGGGGGAACCCCAAAAAUAAUGGGGGGCUGGAUUGGGGGGGGACCCGCCAAUGGGAGCCCAAAAUGGCGGAGAACAAAAUGGAACCCGAAAGGUCCUGAAAGGGGAGCACAAAAUGGGACCCCAAAAUGGGAGCUGAAAUGGAGGGGUGGAAGGGGGGAUUCCCCCCCCCCUUAAAAAUAAUGGGGGGGUCUGGAUUGGGGGGGACCCGCCAAUGGGAGCCCAAAAUGGCGGAGAACAAAAUGGAGCUGAAAUGGGGGGGAGAGGGGACCCCCACAUGGGAGCUGAAAUGGGAGCCCAUCUUGGAGGACCUCACUUGGAGGACCUCAUCUUGGAGGACCUCACUUGGAGGACCUCACAGAGACAUCUUGGAGGACCUCACUUGGAGGACCUCCCGGUGUCCCCUGAUCUUAGGGUGUCUUUGUGACGGGGGUUGGGGGGACACUUGGAGGGCUGGGUGGGGACCCCUUGGAGGACCUCGUAGAGAGUCUUGGAGGACCUCUCUUGGAGGACCUCACUUGGAGGACCUCAUAAGGGCACUUGGAGGACCUCACUUGGAGGACCUCACUUGGAGGACCUCGUAAGGGCACUUGGAGGACCUCGCUUGGAGGACCUCGCUUGGAGGACCUUGUAGGGGCACUUGGAGGACCUCGCUUGGAGGACCUCGCUUGGAGGACCUCGUAGGGGCACUUGGAGGACCUCACUUGGAGGACUUUCUGGGGACACCUUGGAGGACCUCCCGGUGUCCCCCGAUCUUGGGGUGUCAUUGGGACGGGGGUUGGGGGGGGGACGCUUGGAGGACCGGGUGGGGCCCCCUUGGAGGACCCGGUGUCCCCCACCCGGUGUCCCCUGGGUGCCACCAUUGUCCCCCCCCCCCCGUUGUCAUGGCAGCCGACCGCGAGGUGCAGCGCAUCCUGCUGGAGCUGCUCAACCAGAUGGACGGCUUCGACCAGAACGUCAACGUCAAGGUCAGCGGCAACGGCGUCCCCAAUGUCCCCAUGGGUGUCCCCAAUGUCCCCAUGGUGUCCCCAUGGUGUCCCCAUGGCGUCGCCAGUGUCCUAUGG